UUAUGCAAUUAGGAAGCACAAAUAGGUCAAGGCCGUUUGAAACGGACGGGGCGCAGUACAGUGCAACACGAACCCAUAAUUUAACGCAACAGAUUGAAGGACCCAUUGCCACCAUUAUUUUCAAGAUAUUUCUAUAGAAUAGUUAAUUUCUUUGAAAAAGUCUGCAUACCAACAUCAUAUACAGUCAUCCUACACAAUGCCCGGUAGUUCAAAUCCUUCAAAUGAAGAAAUCAGACAACUUAUUAGAGAAAUCCGUGAAGAUGAGAGAAAUGCCAGAUCUGGAGAAAAGAACAGUUUUAAUGUAAAGAAAAGUGGGUCAGUUUUUGAAACAAUACCAGAAAUUCCUCUCACAAUUGCCACAACAAUUGGGUAUUUCCUGUAUAAAGUGAAAACCAGGCCAUUCAAUGCUUACUCUGGGUACUGGUUGGACGUCAGGGUAAAGACACAAACUCUGCUUGUCUUCGGUGGUUUAUUUUUCCAUUUUGCAUGUGGUAUGUACAGAGAUGUGAAGGAGAAGGUAGAGAAAGAUAGAGAAGAGAUGAAAAAAACACAAGCGAUGAAUAGGACAAAAUAAUCUUUGAAUAGAAAGUAUUAAAAGGAUGAAAGUAUCAUGAAAGUUGAAAGUGUUCAUUUGAAAAGAAAUAUUAAAAGAUGCUGAUGUCCAUGGAUGUGCUCACACAUAAAGUUAGACCUAGACUACUGAAGGUCUCAAUCUGACUACCAUGUUAUUUAAUCAGUAAAUAUUCCCGUUUUCUGAAUCCAUAUGAAGUGUUUGAUAAGUCAGAGUUUGGGAGAACCUGUCCUCAUUAAUAAAAACUGCCUGAUGGUUGAAUGUGGUUGAUGUGGUUCAGACUUAAAUUUAUUUGGGUUUUGUCUUGGUAAAUCUAGGCCAAGAUAGUGCUGCUAAUUAUCCAGUGUACUAGACUGCACAUGGACUUUGCAUUACUUUGCUGAACACAUACACUCAGAAUGGUGUACAGAAAAAUUUGUAGUAUGUGCUCAAAUGUACUAAGGAAAAAACACUUUGGAUGCAGUGAAAAGUUUAAGAUAAAGAUAGAUCAGAAUAGAAUCAAAGUGCAUUAAACGGGUAGUUUUAUUAGAAUUCUUCAGAAUUUGUUAAUUUAAAAUUUUAAAUAAAGAUGUUUGAUUCACAGUGAUGAAAAUUAAACAAGUUAUAAACUGUGUAUUUCUGGAUCAGAGUAAGCUCAGUAAUUAAUCGACUUCAGUGGGAAUGAUAAUGUUUCAAUGUAAUGAUGCUGUUCCAAUGCAGGAAUUAUUAUUAUUAUUUUAUUAUUUAGUGAACGUUCCAGUAUUUUAUUUUACGGCCAUUAUAAACAAUGAGGAUAAUGAAUGUGUUGCAUCUUGAAAUUCAUUUUUUUAUGAAGAAUUGCAUAUUUGGUGGGACUGGAUUUUUAAAUAAAACAUUUG